CCUACGGGAGGCAGCAGUGGGGAAUAUUGCACAAUGGGGGAAACCCUGAUGCAGCGACGCCGCGUGAGUGAAGAAGUAAUUCGUUACGUAAAGCUCUAUCAGCAGGGAAGAAACACUGACCUUACGGUCAGCAGACGGUACCUGAGAAAGAAGCCCAGGCUAACUACGUGCCAGCAGCCGCGGUAAUACGUAGGGGGCAAGCGUUAUCCGGAUUUACUGGGUGUAAAGGGAGCGUAGACGGUGCGCCAAGUGUGGAGUGAAAUGCCGCAGCUUAACUGCGGAACUGCUUUGGAAACUGGCGAACUAGAGUGCGGUAGGGGUAAGCGGAAUUCCUAGUGUAGCGGUGAAAUGCGUAGAUAUUAGGAAGAACACCGAUGGCGAAGGCGGCUUACUGGACCGUAACUGACGUUGAGGCUCGAAAGCGUGGGGAGCAAACAGGAUUAGAUACCCCAGUAGUC
rnacentral:rRNA from 1 species